UGCCGUGUCUGAAGCUGAAGAGGCCAGAGAAAGGUGGAGGACAGCCAAGCGACCGGAGUUACAGAAGAGGAAGGGAGGAGAGAAGGAGAAAGAAAUGUCUGAACUGGCAAAUUCUCCCAGCAGCACCAAGAGCGAGAGCUGCGG